rnacentral:rRNA from 1 species
ACGGGUGAGUAAUGCUUAGGAAUCUGCCUAUUAGUGGGGGACAACAUCUCGAAAGGGAUGCUAAUACCGCAUACGUCCUACGGGAGAAAGCAGGGGACCUUCGGGCCUUGCGCUAAUAGAUGAGCCUAAGUCGGAUUAGCUAGUUGGUGGGGUAAAGGCCUACCAAGGCGACGAUCUGUAGCGGGUCUGAGAGGAUGAUCCGCCACACUGGGACUGAGACACGGCCCAGACUCCUACGGGAGGCAGCAGUGGGGAAUAUUGGACAAUGGGGGGAACCCUGAUCCAGCCAUGCCGCGUGUGUGAAGAAGGCCUUUUGGUUGUAAAGCACUUUAAGCGAGGGGGAGGCUACCGAGAUUAAUACUCUUGGAUAGUGGACGUUACUCGCAGAAUAAGCACCGGCUAACUCUGUGCCAGCAGCCGCGGUAAUACAGAGGGUGCAAGCGUUAAUCGGAUUUACUGGGCGUAAAGCGCGCGUAGGUGGCCAAUUAAGUCAAAUGUGAAAUCCCCGAGCUUAACUUGGGAAUUGCAUUCGAUACUGGUUGGCUAGAGUAUGGGAGAGGAUGGUAGAAUUCCAGGUGUAGCGGUGAA